AAAAAUGAAGGAGUUGGCUGUCGUUGACAACAUUUUUUAUUGCAGAAAUUAAAAGUGGGAAAGAAACAAAAGUUUUUACAACAAGGCAGCACGGUUCAUGGGGGGCAACUCUUUUUUUUUUCUUUCCAUCAAAUUGUUUUAAUUUGUUUAUUUUAUUUUUUUUGCAAUUAUUGUAGCUUUUGCUUGUGAUGAAGGGGAAUUUUCACCUUAUUUUAAUCGAACAUGUUUUCUGUAGAUGUUCUGUGUAUCAAAUCUUUAUGUGAUUGUGUUGGAAUAUUUUAUUUUGUUUUAGAAACUUGUGGUCUUACUUUAGACACCCUCGAGUUCGAUGGCAAUUAUGAUUAAUCAUAGUACUUGCACGAACUAAUACAUCGAAUUCAGGAUAAUUAUG
rnacentral:lncRNA from 1 species